CAUCUAGUAGACGUCAUUAUGGUAACGUCCAAUCAACGUCAAGUUAUAACAUCAUUUGAUGUUGAUCUCUAGUUAGUUUUAGGUUGUGGCAUUAACUAACCAAAAUCCAACGUCGAGCCAACGUCUCAAGCCAACGUCACAUUGACAUCAAAAACUUAUGUUUUGUCGUCAGGUAUGGCAACAGUAAUCCAACGUUUUCUAGACGUCAUAAUGGCAACAUCCACACAACGUCAAAUUAAAACAUCAUUUGAUGUUGAUCUGUAGUUAGUUUUAGGUUGUGGCAUUAACUAACCAAAAUCCAACGUCGAGCCAACGUCUCAAGCCAACGUCACACUGACAUCAAAUACUGAUGUUUUGUCGUCAGGUAUGGCAACCAAAAUCCAACAUCUUGUAGACGUCAUUAUGGUAACGUCCGAUCAACGUCAAGUUAUA
ensembl:lncRNA